rnacentral:rRNA from 1 species
CCUACGGGCGGCAGCAGUGAGGAAUAUUGGUCAUUGGACGAGAGUCUGAACCAGCCAAGUAGCGUGAAGGAUGACUGCCCUAUGGGUUGUAAACUUCUUUUAUAUGGGAAUAAAACGUUCCACGUGUGGGAUUUUGUAGUACCAUAUGAAUAAGGAUCGGCUAACUCCGUGCCAGCAGCCGCGGUAAUACGGAGGAUCCGAGCGUUAUCCGGAUUUAUUGGGUUUAAAGGGAGCGUAGGUGGAUUGUUAAGUCAGUUGUGAAAGUUUGCGGCUCAACCGUAAAAUUGCAGUUGAAACUGGCAGUCUUGAGUACAGUAGAGGUGGGCGGAAUUCGUGGUGUAGCGGUGAAAUGCUUAGAUAUCACGAAGAACUCCGAUUGCGAAGGCAGUUCACUGGACUGCAACUGACACUGAGGCUCGAAAGUGUGGGUAUCAAACAGGAUUAGAUACCCGUGUAGUC